AGUUCCGUAGUGUAGUGUUAUCACGUUCGCUUCACACACGGAAGUUAUCCGGUUCGAUGCCGGACGGAACCA